rnacentral:rRNA from 1 species
GACGAACGCUGUCGGCGUGCUUAACACAUGCAAGUCGAACGGAAAGGCCCUGCUUUUGUGGGGUGCUCGAGUGGCGAACGGGUGAGUAACACGUGAGUAACCUGCCCUUGACUUUGUGAUAACUUCAGGAAACUGGGGCGAAUACCGGAUAUGAGCUCCUGCUGCAUGGUGGGGGUUGGAAAGUGUCGGCGGUUGGGGAUGGUCUCGCGGCUCAUCAGCUUGUUGGUGUGGUAGUGGCUUACCAAGGCUUUGACGGGUAGCCGGCCUGAGAGGGUGACAGGCCACAUUGGGACUGAGAUACGGCCCAGCCUCCUACGGGAGGCAGCAGUGGCGAAUAUUGAACAAUGCGCGGAAGCCUGACGCAGCAACGCCGCGCGCGGGAUGAAGGCCUUCGGGUUGUCAACCGCUUUCGCCUGUGAUGAAGCGUGAGUGCCGGUCAUGGGUAAAGAAGCACCCGAUACCUAGCUG